AACGCACCUUGCGCCCCUUGGUAUUCCGAGGGGCAUGCCUGUUUGAGUGUCAUUAAAUUCUCAACCUUACUAGCUUUGCUGGUCUGGCUUGGAUAUGGAGGUUUAUGCAGGCUCUCGAGUCAGCUCCUCUGAAAUGCAUUAGCGGUACCUCUGUGGUAUAACAGCUAUUGGUGUGAUAACUAUCUACGCCAUUAGUCAGUGCCACGCAUAUAAAGGGGCUAUGCUGCUGUCUAACUGUCUACUUGCUAGACAAUACUUGACAAUCUUGACCUCAAAUCAGGUAGGACUACCCGCUGAACUUAA
rnacentral:misc_RNA from 1 species